AUGACUUUGAUCUGCGUCCUCAUCUGGACUCUCCUCUGCUGCUGCUUCACAGAGUCUAAAAUCCAGGCCACAGUGACUCAGCCUGCAGCAGUGACAUCUGCUCUGGGAGGAACCGUCAGCAUCACAUGUAAAACCAGCAAUGAUGUUUAUUUUUGGAACAGCAAACACCGUUUAGCCUGGUACCAACAGAAAGAUGGACAAACUCCUAAACUCCUCAUAUACUAUGCUAGCAGCAGAGCAUCAGGGAUUCCAGGUCGUUUUACAGGCGGUGGAUCAAACUCUGACUUCACUCUGACCAUCAGUGGAGUUCAGGCUGAAGAUGCAGGAGUUUAUUACUGUCAGAGUCUUCAUAGCAUCAACAGUCAGUGGGUGUUCACACAGUGAAAUACAAUCAUAUAAAAACUUCCAUCAGACUGAACAAAAACUGAACUGACUGGUACACUUCAUUGAACACACACACACACACACACA